UCGUAACAAGGUUUCCGUAGGUGAACCUGCGGAAGGAUCAUUACCGAGUGCGGGUCCUUUGGGCCCAACCUCCCAUCCGUGUCUAUUAUACCCUGUUGCUUCGGCGGGCCCGCCGCUUGUCGGCCGCCGGGGGGGCGCCUUUGCCCCCCGGGCCCGUGCCCGCCGGAGACCCCAACACGAACACUGUCUGAAAGCGUGCAGUCUGAGUUGAUUGAAUGCAAUCAGUUAAAACUUUCAACAAUGGAUCUCUUGGUUCCGGCAUCGAUGAAGAACGCAGCGAAAUGCGAUAACUAAUGUGAAUUGCAGAAUUCAGUGAAUCAUCGAGUCUUUGAACGCACAUUGCGCCCCCUGGUAUUCCGGGGGGCAUGCCUGUCCGAGCGUCAUUGCUGCCCUCAAGCCCGGCUUGUGUGUUGGGUCGCCGUCCCCCUCUCCGGGGGGACGGGCCCGAAAGGCAGCGGCGGCACCGCGUCCGAUCCUCGAGCGUAUGGGGCUUUGUCACAUGCUCUGUAGGAUUGGCCGGCGCCUGCCGACGUUUUCCAACCAUUUUUUCCAGGUUGACCUCGGAUCAGGUAGGGAUACCCGCUGAACUUAAGCAUAUCAAUAA
rnacentral:misc_RNA from 1 species